rnacentral:rRNA from 1 species
UACGGGGGGGGCAAGCGUUGUUCGGAAUUACUGGGCGUAAAGGGCUCGUAGGCGGCCAACUAAGUCAGACGUGAAAUCCCUCGGCUUAACCGGGGAACUGCGUCUGAUACUGGAUGGCUUGAAUCCGGGAGAGGGAUGCGGAAUUCCAGGUGUAGCGGUGAAAUGCGUAGAUAUCUGGAGGAACACCGGUGGCGAAGGCGGCCAUCUGGACGGAUACUGACGCUGAGACGCGAAAGCGUGGGGAGCAAACAGG